UCCAUAUGGUCUAGAUAUUAGAAGUGUCUCUACAGUCACUAUUCGAGUGAAGGCAACAGUGCUAGCACGCGAACUUAACAUCAGUGAAUUUAGAGGCGGUCCUUCCUGGUGUUAUCGGUUUAUGAAAAGAUGUAAUCUCUCCAUCCGCGCA